rfam:TPA: Bos taurus chromosome 25, whole genome shotgun sequence.
CCCCUGGAGAUCCAGUGGUUAGGACGCUGCACUUUCACUGCUGAGGGCGCAGGUUUGAUCCCUGGUCAGGGAA